rnacentral:rRNA from 1 species
GACAGAGGGGGCAAGCGUUGCUCGGAAUUACUGGGCGUAAAGGGCGCGUAGGCGGGAUGGCAAGUCGGUCGUGAAAUCCCUCGGCUCAACCGAGGAACGUCGAUCGAUACUGCUGUUCUUGAGGAUUGCAGAGGAGACUGGAAUUCCCGGUGUAGCGGUGAAAUGCGCAGAUAUCAGGAGGAACACCGAUGGCGAAGGCAGGUCUCUGGGCGAUUAACUGACGCUGGAGGAGCGAAAAGCAUGGGGAGCGAACAGG